AAACACACAGAGCAGCUGCCUCUUAGAUGCCCUCCUGCUUUUUGUCUCCUUUGUUCAUUCUCUAAUCAGGGCACAAAAAUCAUCCUUUUCCUCUCUGAAAUUUAUCAGUGUCAUCCGGACUGGACCUGAGUCAUGGCUUCCAUUGCCUAUCAAUAGCAGCAAGCUUCAGGCCACCAUCAAAAAGUUGGUUGCUGAAAAAUCUCUACCUAGUGUCUAGGAAUGUACCCCCAACACUUGUCGAGUGGUCAGUGACUCUACAGUAUGAGGAAUAAGAUGUAAAUUAAGAACACACCCUCUGUCAACAGAACUGUGUGGAGUUGAAGCAAGAGUCCUGCCUCAGUGCUUCUCACUUGGCCAGGGGAAAGACGGAAGGGGAAAUGUCAUAAUUAGCCAGCCAUGCAGCUUGUGCGAGGCUCCCCAGCACGACUCGAUAUCUAUUCAGAACUCAAGUGAAAAGACAAAUGGAGACCAAGACAGAGAUGAAAAAUUACCAGGACAUUUCAAUAGAGAUGCUCUGUUACAGAAUGGAAAUGCCAGCUGAGAAAACUGUUCAUAAGAGAAUGACUCCGAGGAUGACUGAUGGGUCAGCUUCCAAGAUAUCUGGGAUUCUGCAAACUCUUCCGACAAUGCAUUGCAAAUGAGUACAUAUUUGUGGAUUUAAGGCUUGCCACACAAGCGCUACUGUUUUCUGUUCAUACAUGCCAGGGAAUAAAAAUUUAAAUUCCAAGCAAUUCAUAAUACCAAAGGAUUUUCUUUCAGUGAAACUGACACUACUGUAUUUUGCUCUGCUAGAUAGAUACAUCCCUUGUAAGUUGUUGUGUGACAUUUGACUUAAGGCAAGUGAUGCAAGGUAAUCGUGGGCAGAAAGGCUGCCAAAGG